AUACAUGACUAAGUAGAAAAGGGUUUC
rnacentral:piRNA from 1 species